CUCCCUGAAUCACGUGUUAUUCACAGACGAAACGCAGUUUACAAGGGAUGGCUGGUUCAACUGUCGAAACAGCCACGCUUUGGCUGACGAAAACCCCAACGUUACUGUAGUUGGUUACCACCAGGCGCAAUUUUCUGUCAGUGUCUGGGUGGGCAUCAUUGGCGAUCACUUGAUUGGGCCUUUCCUCCUACCACCGCGACGCAAUGGGAUCUUUUACAAGGCGUUCCCUGAACGUAUCCUUCCGACUUUUUGAUUGUGCGGAGGCAAAUGUGGAUACAGCAUGACGGAGCGCCGGCACACUUCAGCAUUGUAUCACGAGACUACCUGGAUCCUGUUUUUCAUGGGCGUUGGAUAGGAAGAGGAGGCCCAGUGCCUUGGCCACCCCGAUCCCCAGACUUGACACCUCUGGACUAUUUCGUCUGGGGCCAUGUGGAAAAGCCUGGUCUACGACACGCCUGUGGAUAAUGAAUUCGAGCUGUUGGCCAGAAUACUUGUUGCAUGUGACGUGAUCCGUGAGGCACCUGGAAUAUUUGAAAGGGUGCGCCAGAGUUUCUUUCGUCGAUGUAACGCAUGCAUUGAAAAUGGAGGGCGCCAAUUCCAACAUCUGCUCUAGCAGGUCUUGGAUCAGGUUGACCAAGUAUGUAAUAGUGCAGAUGGAGUAACACCCAUACAUAACCAGUGUAGCUACAACUAAGAGCCAACCAUUAAGAGUGUCCUUGUCAUGUCAGAACUGUAGUCUGUGUUGGGAUUUACUUACUCCAUCCUGGUCCACGUGGGAUGAUCUUUGCCUACAUCAUCAUGAUCUGAGAUAAUGGGUGAUCUUUGCCUACAUCAUCAUGAUCUGACAUAAGGAGUGACACACCAUAUAGAUACAUGGACAUGGCUGUCAUGAAUUGUGUCCGCAGCCUUCUAUGAGCCUUGGACUUCUUUUAAAGGUAUAACUAGUCUUUUAUAACCUUGGGAGUGGACAGAGGUGAAUGGUACAAAUUAGAUAGGAGGCUGGGUGGGCACUAGAGUGACUGGACAUGGUACAGUCCAGACUGAAGCUUUUGUAUUGAUUGUUGAGCUACCAGCCUCAACUUGUGUGUGGGAUUUGAGGUUAGGGAUGGUGAAUAUGAAGGUUUAUAUGUUCUUCUGGGUUGUGAUGAUGUCUAGUAUGGUAAAUGGUGAUGAAGGAAGCAGGUUCUUCUGGAACCAGACUCCACAGCGUCACAACCCAGAAGACUGUAAUCUUCACCAUAUUUGUUACUUAUUAGUCCGUCAUUACGGAUGAUGAUAACUCAAGACUUAAUUCAUUUGACUGCUUUAAAAAUGUCAGGUUUAUGAGGAGUAACUUGUGUUUUUAUUUUUAACAGUCAUCUUAGGCCAGUGUAAUACAAACAUAAAAAAGGGUAAAGUAGUC